GACGAACGCUGGCGGCGUGCUUAACACAUGCAAGUCGAACGGAAAGGGCCUGCUUUUGUGGGGUGCUCGAGUGGCGAAAGGGUGAGUAACACGUGAGUAACCUGCCCUUGACUUUGGGAUAAAUUCAGGAAACUGGGGCUAAUACCGGAUAGGAGCUCCUGCUGCAGGGUGGGGGUUGGAAAGUUUCGGCGGUUGGGGAUGGACUCGCGGCUUAUCAGCUUGUUGGUGGGGUAGUGGCUUACCAAGGCUUUGACGGGUAGCCGGCCUGAGAGGGUGACCGGCCACAUUGGGACUGAGAUACGGCCCAGACUCCUACGGGAGGCAGCAGUGGGGAAUAUUGCACAAUGGGCGGAAGCCUGAUGCAGCAACGCCGCGUGCGGGAUGACGGCCUUCGGGUUGUAAACCGCUUUCGCCUGUGACGAAGCGUGAGUGACGGUAAUGGGUAAAGAAGCACCGGCUAACUACGUG
rnacentral:rRNA from 1 species